rnacentral:rRNA from 1 species
GAUGAACGCUGGCGGCGUGCUUAACACAUGCAAGUCGAACGAACAGAGGUGGAGGCUUGCUUCUAUCCGUCUUAGUGGCGCACGUGUGUGUCACGCGUAAACAACCUGUCCUUCAGAGGGGGACCACAGGUGGAAACGACUGCUUAUACCGCAUACUAUCCAACCUCGGCAUCCAGGAGUGAUAGACGGUGGUGUCUAUUUAUAUGCUAGCACUCACGGCGGGUUAUGCGGCUGAUUAGCUAGUUGGGUAGGUAAGGGGCUAACCAGGCAAUGAUUAGUAGCCGGUCUGAGGAGAGGGACGGCCCACUUGGGACUGGGACACGGCCCAGAACUCUAAGGGAGGGAGCCGGGGGGAAUCCUUCGCAAUGGAGGAAAGGCUGAAGGAGCAACGCCGCGUGGGGGAUGACGGCCUUCGGGUUGUAAAGCUCCGUUAAUCGGGACGAAAGGUCUUCGUGCGAAUAGAUAGAAGAAUUGACGGUACCGGAAUAGAAAGCCACGGCUAACUACGUG